rnacentral:lncRNA from 1 species
GGGUCUUUUUAAUUGAGAGCUCUUGGGCACAACAAUAAAGAUAUGACAGUUUAUAAGGCAUCGCAUAAUUUCCAUGAACACAGCAAAUAUGAUAAGCUAUUUUAGAUUUCAUUAGAAAGGGGUGGAGAAGGAUGGUUGCUCGAUGGGAAACCAGCUGAAUUGCGUAUCGGAAGUCAGCGCCUCUGUGGCAGCUUUAUCGCCGCGCCUGGUUCCCCUGUUUGUGGAGCCUGCAGCCCCCAGGCGCGUGUGCCCUUCGAUGCCCCGGCCCCGGCUGCCCUCCCCCAGCCGGGACUGAGUCACGUGCAGCCGGCCCUUCCUCCCGUUGCCCUGAACAUCUCACCUCCUUUGCAUCGCGCCCCCGACAGCGCCCUUGUCUGCCUUCCUAGUGCGCAUGUCACCUGCACCGUGGCUGCUCUCGGGUCACUGCAGAAUCGGGGGCGGCUGACACCUCCUCUGUCCUCCACGCGGGUCACCAGCUGGCGCCUUCCAAGCGGAGCAGCGCGUGUCCCCUUCGCGCUUCCGAGCUGUCUGCUCCCCGGCCUCCCUCUCUCUCUCCAUCCUCAGGCUGACGGUCUGGCUUCUUGCUUGAGAAUCAGGAGUCACCGGCCGCCUGCCCCACCGCGUGCUGCCAGGUCCUUCUCGGGGCGGAGGUCACCCCCGUACCUCCCUCCUGAUGCUCCCCCGCUGUGUGAGGGCCUCUGUGCCCCCAGUUCUUUCGGGCGACCCUCCUUCUCCCUGGCCGCUGGCUCCCCUUCUCUGCUGGGUCGCCCCCCCCCCACAGCGCCCAGAUGCUCAGACCCUGUGCACUUAGAAAGCCCUUCCCUGACCCUGCCGCUGCGGCCUGUCUCCGCGGCAGAGCUCUGGACCCGCCGUGGCCUGGCCUGGCCUGGCCCCACCUCUGUUCCUACCAUCCUCUCCCAGACGUUCCACUGCGGCCCAUUAGAUGGCCAGGCCCCCCCGGCCUACUUCUGUCCCUCGAGCUGCCGGCACAUGCGUCGUGAUUGCUCCCUUGCUCUCCCGGGCUUCUCGAAGAUGCAACCCUGUGCUCUUGUUUGUCUGUUUUCCUCGACUUUUUUGCCUCACACACAGCUUCUUGCCAGUGUCCUGGGCCAGUCUCCUCUCUGCCCAGGUGGGUGCCCACCUCCCCUCCCUCGGCAGCCUCGCUGUGGCUGUAGGUGUCAGUGGUAAGAGAAGGGCCCCUUGCAGUGCCCACGUGGCUCUCCUCCCCGCCGUUCCACACCGGCACCUCUUUAGAUUCAAGUACAAGCUCUGGACGGGCCGUCUCUCCUUGGGUCUUGCCUGAGGCACCUCACGUCUUAAACCGCAGACUCUGGAACCCCGCCCCCCAGCCUCGCGUGUCUCAGGGCUUCGCCCCAUCACUGUGGUUGGUGGAUCCCUGGGCCCUUUAUUUUCCCCACCUCCUAGUCCCAUCAGUCCUACCUGGAGAGCCCCCUCUGGCCCCGGCUGCAGUGGGUGUGGGCUGGGGCCCCUGGGGGCCUCCCGCAGGGCCUUGCCCCCCCCCCACUCUCUUAGUCUGAUCUCGUCUCACCGCUGCACUGACAGAUCGACCUUUAAAAUGUGCCCUGAGAACAGGUCCCUCCCAGGGCUCCCAUCAUCCCCAGGGGCCGGUCCAGGCUCCUCAGCUUGGCCCCAGCCCUCAGGCGCGGAUUUCAUCUCACACUACAUCCUGGUGCCUGGAACAGUGGCAGGACCAGAGUGGGUGCUGGCGGGCUGCUGGUGAGCUCCUCUCCCCUCGGACAGGCGAGGACAGAGCCUGAGCCAAGCACGGGCUUCACGUCUGCAGCCCUGAGAGCAGCGCUGUCUGGGGCUUUGGGGGCUUCGUCUUAAGACUGUGUGCAGCAAACGGCUCAGGAAUUCCUCUUUUCCUGGGAUUCUUAGGAGGAGGGUGGCCGGGAGUGUGGCACCCUGGCCUGCGGCUUUGGAGACCGAAUCCGUCCGCCACGGACUCUGCUUUGCCGUGUGGUCCUGGGCCCUUGGUCUCAGCCUAGAUUUCCAGGUCCUUCACUUGGCAUCGCCGUCCUUGCCGUCAAGAGGCAGGGUACCCGAGAGAGGCAAGGGUUCGCCUUCUACUGGACAGCUGAGCUACGGGGCGAUUUCUGUGUCCGUUUCUUCUCAAAAGCAGAUGUUUGACGGGGGACAGUGCGCAGGUGUGACUGGCUGUGAGUUCCCAGAGGCAGAGGAGACGGUGCCGGCUCAGAGACGAGGCAGCGGGGACAGAGCCUCAGCAGGCUCGGGAAACUCCUGGCUCGCUGGGGCCGCUGUUUCUCCAGGAGGCGGGGGUGGGGUGUCUCCGGGAAAGUGCGCCUGGGGGUGGGCGUGGGUCCUCGCCACCUCCUCGGGGGCGCAUGGGCCCCCUGUGGUUCCGACCUUGGUGACGCUGCCCUCCGGGGUUUGGCUGGCUUUGGGGUUCUCCGUGAGACUUCGCUGCACAAACUUCGAGAGCAAACAAACCCCCGUGGACCCUUCAAACAGCGAAUGGGGAUGGACUGUUCUAGAGCCUCGAGCCCAGUGUUUCACGGGUGGUGUCCAGAGAGCCAAGACCCUGGAGUCGCAGGAACUUCGGGGAACUGGUUCUGUGGUCACCGACUCUUCGGAGAUUCACGUGCCUUAGAAGCGCUGCCUCUCGGCGGGGCCUGGCCGCCCUCUGACCCUGGCGCUGGUUCCUGCCAUCGCGGCCUCCGUGACCCGCCCUGGGUUCCGCUGGUCACAGCUGGGAAGGCGGCUUGGGCGUGGCUUCGCAGGGGUUUAUAGAGUGGUUAUAACGUAUCCACCCACUAAAAUGCCGUCCGUGCCACAACCACCAAUAAGGCACUGACAGGCUGGCCCGGUCCAGGUCAGUGCGUUUUCUCCAACACAGGAAGCGGUUUUCUGGUCAAACGAGUUGGUUUCUCAGCAUCUUUCUCCCUUUUUCUCUCCAUCACGGCCCUUUCUUUAUUGAGAAUCGAUCCGUGCUAAGGACUACAAAUGAAUUGACGAGGUGCGUCAGGCUGAAGAGACGUGACUCACUUUUGCAUUCGGAAAUGUCAGAACUAAAAGUUUAAAUCCAGCGUGAUUUG